UUCCGGUUGAUCCCGCCGGACCUGACUGCUAUCGGAUUGAUACUAAGCCAUGUGAGUCAUUGUAGCAAUACAAGGCAGACGGCUCAGUAACACGUAACCAACCUACCCUAUGGACGGGGAUAACCUCGGGAAACUGAGGAUAAACCCCGAUAGAUCAUUAUGCCUAGAACGGUUUAUGGUCCAAAUGAUUCGUCGCCAUAGGAUGGGAUUGCGGCCUAUCAGCUUGUUGGUGAGGUAAUGGCCCACCAAGGCUAUUACAGGUACGGGCUCUGAGAGGAGAAGCCCGGAGAUGGGUACUGAGACACGGACCCAGGCCCUAUGAGGCGCAGCAGGCGAGAAACCUUUGCAAUGUGCGCAAGCACGACAAGGUUAAUCCGAGUGUUUCCUGCUAAAGGAAUCUUUUGUUAGUCCUAAAAACACUAGCGAAUAAGGGGUGGGCAAGUUCUGGUGUCAGCCGCCGCGGUAAAACCAGCACCUCAAGUGGUCAGGAGGAUUAUUGGGCCUAAAGCAUCCGUAGCCUGCUCUGUAAGUUUCCGGUUAAAUCCAUUCGCUCAACUGAUGGGCUGCCGGAAAAACUGCAAAGCUAGGGAGUGGGAGAGGUAGACGGUACUCGGUAGGAAGGGGUAAAAUCCUUUGAUCUAUUGAUGACCACCUGUGGCGAAGGCGGUCUACCAGAACACGUUCGACGGUGAGGGAUGAAAGCUGGGGGAGCAAACCGGAUUAGAUACCCGGGUAGUCCCAGCUGUAAACGAUGCAGACUCGGUGAUGCUCUGGCUUGUGGCCAGUGCAGUGCCGCAGGAAGCCGUUAAGUUUGCCGCCUGGGAAGUACGUACGCAAGUAUGAAACUUAAAGGAAUUGGCGGGGGAGCACCACAAGGGGUGAAGCCUGCGGUUCAAUUGGAUUCAACGCCGGA
rnacentral:rRNA from 1 species